rnacentral:rRNA from 1 species
GGCUCAGGAUGAACGCUGGCGGCGUGCCUAACACAUGCAAGUCGAACGAAGCACUGUAGUGGAAGUUUUCGGAUGGAAACUACAUUGACUUAGUGGCGGACGGGUGAGUAACGCGUGGGUAACCUGCCUCAUACAGGGGAAUAACAGUUAGAAAUGACUGCUAAAACCGCAUAACAUAGCGAUGCCGCAUGACAUUGCUAUCAAAUAUUUAUAGGUAUGAGAUGGACCCGCGUCUGAUUAGCUAGUUGGUGAGGUAACGGCCCACCAAGGCAACGAUCAGUAGCCGGCCUGAGAGGGUGAACGGCCACAUUGGGACUGAGACACGGCCCAAACUCCUACGGGAGGCAGCAGUGGGGAAUAUUGGGCAAUGGGCGAAAGCCUGACCCAGCGACGCCGCGUGAAGGAAGAAGAUCUUCGGAUUGUAAACUUUAGUCAACAGGGAAGAAGAAAGUGACGGUACCUGUGGAGGAAGCCACGGCUAACUACGUG